rnacentral:tRNA from 1 species
AGGACACUAGUAAAAUUACCAUUACACUGCCUUGUCAAGGCAGAAUUGUGGGUUAGACCCCUGCGUGUCCUG